CAGGACGAACGCUGGCGGCACGCUUAACACAUGCAAGUCGAACGAGCGAAAGGUGCUUGCACCUCUAGCUAGUGGCGGACGGGUGAGUAACACGUGAGCAAUCUGCCUUUCGGUGGGGAUACCAAUUGGAAACGAUUGUUAAUACCCCAUAACAUAACGAAGCCGCAUGACUUUGUUAUCAAAGAUUUAUUGCCGGAAGAUGAGCUCGCGUCUGAUUAGGUAGUUGGUGAGGUAACGGCUCACCAAGCCGACGAUCAGUAGCCGGACUGAGAGGUUGAACGGCCACAUUGGGACUGAGACACGGCCCAGACUCCUACGGGAGGCAGCAGUGGGGAAUAUUGCACAAUGGGCGAAAGCCUGAUGCAGCGAUGCCGCGUGAGGGAAGAAGGUUUUAGGAUUGUAAACCUCUGUCUUUGGGGACGAUAAUGACGGUACCCAAGGAGGAAGCUCCGGCUAACUACGUGCCAGCAGCGGC
rnacentral:rRNA from 1 species